UACGGAGGAUGCGAGCGUUAUCCGGAUUUAUUGGGUUUAAAGGGUGCGUAGGCGGACUGUCAAGUCAGCGGUAAAAUUGAGAGGCUCAACCUCUUCCCGCCGUUGAAACUGGUGGUCUUGAGUGGAUGAGAAGUACGCGGAAUGCUUGGUGUAGCGGUGAAAUGCAUAGAUAUCACGCAGAACUCCGAUUGCGAAGGCAGCGUACCGGCAUCCAACUGACGCUGAGGCACGAAAGCGUGGGGAUCAAACAGG
rnacentral:rRNA from 1 species